rnacentral:lncRNA from 1 species
AUGAGUUCUUAUUCAGAACAAAGUGUUCAAACCUCUUUCAGGCUACUUGGGUCAAUCUGCUUUGUCACAGCUACGAAGGGCACUUGCGCUGACAUAAAGUUCAUAUUCCACAGCAAUACAAUCCUCUCAUUUAAAGGCCAAGCUGGACAAUUCCCGAGGAGUGUUCAAAGCAAGAUAAAAUUCAACAUGCGCCACUUGCCCCCAGACCCAUUCAGCUGCACUCUCCAAUCUGCGCCCCCUUCUGUGCGAAGUUCCCUCUGCUCCAUUCUUGCCGUUCAGAGACAGGAGCUCGCAGAACUCAGAACCAGGGAACAGAUUGCCGCAGUCAAUCCACUUCCCGCUAAGAACCGCUUGGCCAAAGAACACUUGAGAAGGUCUGCCACAUUCUGGAACCCGGGGAGGCGGGAGAUGCAAACGCUGGAGCGCACUGCCUGGGGACCUGCCGACGUGGUACUGAGACUGAGCGCAGGUCGAGGCGAAUCUGACACCCAGGCGGAGGGGGCCUCGUGAAGCAGGCCAGUGGCCACGCGGGGGUCCGUGCUUCCUAAUCUCUCUCCUCCCCUCCACCACCCCCGGAAAACACGGUCCUGUGCCCCUGCUCCCCUCCUCCACGAGCAGCUGAGCCCCUACGUGCGGCCCGGGCGCCCCCAACGCCCGAGUUUCCGGACCCGCCGUGGAGCGCCUCCGCGGGGCACGGCCACGUGGCCCGCCCGCGCGUCCCCUUGGCUCCCGCUUCCUCCGCACACAUCCGCGGCCGCGACCCUCGCCCCGGGCCGGGAAAGGAGGCUGCUGGCCGAGUGCCGGGUUCUCGCUGGCGAGACGAGCCAGUCAGGGGAGCCCCCUGCGCGGACCUCGCCUCCCGGUACGCAAGCCCGCGCCCCCAAACCCUGCUGGCCCACGCAGACUCCCGCCGCGCCUGUGACCUCUGGUUGGCUUGGCGGCUAACGUUAAAGAGAUGUCCACGAAGCGGUUGUUUCGCCCCCAACUCGUUCCAAAAAGAAAGAAACCAAAGCAGCAGGGCCAGGAUGGGCUUCUCCUCCCCCGCCGCUUCCACUCCCGCCCACAGGCUUGCUGGCUUCCAGGGUGCCAGCCGCUGCCUUCACACCCUCCUUCGGGGGGCCCUUCGUUCUAAAGUCUUGGGUGGAAAUGCUUCAAAUGCAAACGUGUCCGAGUAACUGCAGGGGCGCUGGGACCAUCCCCACCCGCUGGACCGCCAAGGAAGGGGGCUGGGGGGCAAGGCCCUCGCAGCGCACGGGCCCCCGUGCCCAGGCUCCGGAGACUCCCCACCUCUUAGAGGCUGACCUCUCGGGGUCACCGUGCGGGAAUCCAAGUCCGGGGCAAGGUGGUAAUCAAGGGGCCACAGGGUCCUCCCCCCUUGGGCGGGCGGCGCUGCGCUGGCUCCCUCCGGCCCUGCUUCCAUUCGCCACGGGCAGGGCGCGAACUUGGGCCCCUUUCAGCACCCUCGCAGGCGCAGUCCGUUAGGCACAGGGCAGUCUGAGGUGGGGACAGU